UACGUAGGGGGCAAGCGUUGUCCGGAUUUAUUGGGCGUAAGGAGCGUGUAGGCGGCUAGAUAGGUCCGUUGUGAAAACUCGAGGCUCAACCUCGAGACGUCGAUGGAAACCAUCUGGCUAGAGUCCGGAAGAGGAGAGUGGAAUUCCUGGUGUAGCGGUGAAAUGCGCAGAUAUCAGGAAGAACACCCGUGGCGAAGGCGGCUCUCUGGUGCGUGACUGACGCUGAGACGCGAAAGCGUGGGGAGCAAACAGG
rnacentral:rRNA from 1 species